rnacentral:rRNA from 1 species
UGGUGGGGUGACCCGUCUGGUUAAUUUCGAUAACGAACGAGAUCCGAGCUGUUUAGUUGGCCGUGUCUGCUUUGCAGGCAUGUGUCUCCUAUAUGGACUGUCAGUGUGAGGCUGAAGGAAGUUUCGGGCUAAAUCA